UAUUCUUAAGAAACAAGAUACAAGUUGGACUUACUUUCCAUGAGAUUGGUUUUUUUUUUGUUUGCAGAUUAUUUUCACAAAUGUCGAGAACCCUCAUGCUCUCGGAUAGAAGCCACUAACAUUUCCCCAUCAGGUGGUAGCAUUGUGCCAAGCUCCCUAUUGGAUGACCCUAAUGUCGGGCUUUUAUUCCCAGCAGAUGUCAUUGCAAGAGCUAAACAUUAUCUUUCAUUGACUUUGGGUGGUUUAGGUGCAUAUAGUGAUUCUCGAGGACUUCCUGGAAUUAGGAAAGAAUUUGCAGAGUUCAUU